rnacentral:rRNA from 1 species
GACGAACGCUGGCGGCGUGCUUAACACAUGCAAGUCGAACGGUGAUGGGUGGAGCUUGCUCUGCUUUGAUCAGUGGCGAACGGGUGAGUAACACGUGAGUAACCUGCCCCAGACUCUGGAAUAACCCCGGGAAACCGGUGCUAAUACCGGAUAUGACACAGAAUCGCAUGGUUUCUGUGUGGAAAGUUUUUCGGUUUGGGACGGACUCGCGGCCUAUCAGCUUGUUGGUGAGGUAAUGGCUCACCAAGGCGACGACGGGUAGCCGGCCUGAGAGGGCGACCGGCCACACUGGGACUGAGACACGGCCCAGACUCCUACGGGAGGCAGCAGUGGGGAAUAUUGCACAAUGGGCGCAAGCCUGAUGCAGCGACGCCGCGUGAGGGAUGAAGGCCUUCGGGUUGUAAACCUCUUUCAGCUCUGAAGAAGCGAAAGUGACGGUAGGAGCAGAAGAAGCACCGGCUAACUACGUGCCAGCCGCCGCCGUAAAAC